rnacentral:rRNA from 1 species
GUUUGACCUCGGAUCAGGUAGGGAUACCCGCUGAACUUAAGCAUAUCAAUAAGCGGAGGAAAAGA